GUUGUAUGGUUAAGUGACUAAGCGUACACGGUGGAUGCCUGGGCAGUCAGAGGCGAUGAAGGACGUACUAACUUGCGAUAAGCGCAGAUAAGGCAGUAAGAGCCGUUUGAGUCUGCGAUUUCCGAAUGGGGAAACCCAACUGCAUAAGCAGUUACUGUUAACUGAAUACAUAGGUUAACAGAGCAAACCGGGGGAACUGAAACAUCUAAGUACCCCGAGGAGAAGAAAUCAACCGAGAUUCCGGUAGUAGCGGCGAGCGAACCUGGAUUAGCCCUUAAGCACUCGGUGAAGUAGGUGAACAAGCUGGAAAGCUUGGCGAUACAGGGUGAUAGCCCCGUAACCGACGCUUCAUCGAGCGUGAAAUCGAGUAGGGCGGGACACGUGAUAUCCUGUCUGAAUAUGGGGGGACCAUCCUCCAAGGCUAAAUACUCCUGACUGACCGAUAGUGAACCAGUACCGUGAGGGAAAGGCGAAAAGAACCCCUGUGAGGGGAGUGAAAUAGAACCUGAAACCGUGUACGUACAAGCAGUAGGAGCACCUUCGUGGUGUGACUGCGUACCUUUUGUAUAAUGGGUCAGCGACUUAUAUUCAGUGGCAAGGUUAACCGUAUAGGGGAGCCGUAGCGAAAGCGAGUCUUAACUGGGCGCUCAGUCUCUGGAUAUAGACCCGAAACCGGGUGAUCUAGCCAUGGGCAGGUUGAAGGUUGAGUAACAUCAACUGGAGGACCGAACCGACUAAUGUUGAAAAAUUAGCGGAUGACUUGUGGCUAGGGGUGAAAGGCCAAUCAAACUCGGAGAUAGCUGGUUCUCCCCGAAAGCUAUUUAGGUAGCGCCUCGGACGAAUACUACUGGGGGUAGAGCACUGUUAAGGCUAGGGGGUCAUCCCGACUUACCAACCCUUUGCAAACUCCGAAUACCAGUAAGUACUAUCCGGGAGACACACGGCGGGUGCUAACGUCCGUCGUGGAGAGGGAAACAACCCAGACCGCCAGCUAAGGUCCCAAAGUAUUGCUAAGUGGGAAACGAUGUGGGAAGGCUCAGACAGCUAGGAUGUUGGCUUAGAAGCAGCCAUCAUUUAAAGAAAGCGUAAUAGCUCACUAGUCGAGUCGGCCUGCGCGGAAGAUGUAACGGGGCUAAGCAAUACACCGAAGCUGCGGCAAUGUCUUUUAGACAUUGGGUAGGGGAGCGUUCUGUAAGCCGUUGAAGGUGAAUCGUAAGGUUUGCUGGAGGUAUCAGAAGUGCGAAUGCUGACAUGAGUAACGACAAAGGGGGUGAAAAACCUCCUCGCCGGAAGACCAAGGGUUCCUGUCCAACGUUAAUCGGGGCAGGGUGAGUCGACCCCUAAGGUGAGGCCGAAAGGCGUAAUCGAUGGGAAACGGGUUAAUAUUCCCGUACUUCUGACUAUUGCGAUGGGGGGACGGAGAAGGCUAGGUGGGCCAGGCGACGGUUGUC
rnacentral:rRNA from 1 species